UACGUAGGGUGCAAGCGUUGUCCGGAAUUAUUGGGCGUAAAGGGCUCGUAGGCGGUUUGUCGCGUCUGCCGUGAAAGCCCCGGGCUCAACCCGGGAAGUGCACUCGAUACUCCCAGCUAGAGUAUCGGAGAGGUUGGCGGAAUUCUCGGUGUAGAGGUGAAAUUCGUAGAUAUCGAGAGGAACACCGGCGGCGAAGGCGGCCAACUGGACGAAUACUGACGCUGAGACUCGAAAGCGUGGGGAGCAAACAGG
rnacentral:rRNA from 1 species